UACGUAGGGACCAAGCGUUGUUCGGAUUUACUGGGCGUAAAGGGCGCGUAGGCGGCAAUUCAAGUCAGCUGUGAAAUCUCCGGGCUUAACUCGGAACGGUCAGCUGAUACUGCUUUGCUAGAGUGCAGAAGGGGCAAUCGGAAUUCUUGGUGUAGCGGUGAAAUGCGUAGAUAUCAAGAGGGACACCUGAGGUGAAGACGGGUUGCUGGGCUGACACUGACGCUGAGUGCGCGAAAGCUAGGGUAGCAAACGGG
rnacentral:rRNA from 1 species